UGAAGAUCUACAAAUUGUGCGCAGCGUAGCGGCGGUCGAAUAUCAACGGACAACGAAAAGCUAAAAAGUUAUUGUUAACAACAAGUGCAGAUAUGAGUGACGAAGUGACAUAUUUUACAAAUGCCGAAACCGGCUACGUGCCUGCUAAACUGGGACAACGCAGCUCCCAACAAAAACCAAUGCGAAUCUUGCAAUUCGUUGUGCAGGACGUUAUACCGGACGUGGUGAAGUUCAUCGUCUGUUUGAUUCCGUUGAUUCUGAACGGCUUAAUCGGCUUGAUUCUACCGCCGAAGAAAAAAUCCAUCGUGGGUCAGACUGCGCUGGUGACCGGUGGUGGAAAUGGGCUUGGCCGAGCUUUGUGCUUGCGUCUGGCAAAGGAAGGUUGCAAUGUAGCCGUGGUGGAUAUCGAUAUGGUCGGUGCCCAGCGAACGGUGUCCGAUGUGCGCAAGCUCGGUGUCAAAGCAGAAGCAUUCUUGGCCGACAUCGCCAACUACGAGGAAGUCGAGAAACUCAAACUGGCUGUCGAAGAUGCACUGGGACCGGUCGAUAUACUUGUCAACAAUGCUGGCCUAUUGGCGAUUUCGUCGAUCACCGAAGGUAAACCAUCGGAUCUGCAACGGAUCUUGAACGUGAACUUGCUCUCUCACUUUUGGACGAUUCGUGCGUUCAAAUCCGGCAUGAUUCAUCGACACCGUGGUCAUAUCGUCGCAAUUGCUUCCAUCGCUGCGCAUUUCCCCGUGGGACGGUUUAUUCCUUACACCGUCACUAAAUACGGCGUCCGAGCGCUAAUGGAAUCGCUCAACAGUGAGCUACGUAUGGAUGGGUUGCACGAGGAACUGCAUACGACAUGUGUCUACCCAGCAUUGAUCGCUACGCGGCAGCAAUUUAUGGACUUGCUCGAUAAGCUCAACUUUUUGCAUCGAUUCUAUGUCUUCACGCCAAAACAGGUAGCCAAUCAGGUCGUCAAGGGCAUCCUCGUCAACAAGCGCGAGGUAUUUGUUCCAAGCAUUCUGGCAAUUGUUUGCAAGCAGUUUGAGAAUCUCCCAUCUGGGUUCAGACAUCUGGCUGUGUGCACCGUGCUGCGAGGAAAAUUGCCCUCGAUGAAUCCGAAACAAUCAUAAACAAAGAUGAGCUGCGAUGAGCCGCCGCAUCGAGAUCACAACGAGCAGCGCAAUUAUUUCUCAUGGCAAAAUUGCCACAUUGCAUGUUACUACACUUGGAAAUAAAAACAAAAUCGGGGCGUACGCCACUGACGCGUAUUGGCAUAAUAAUUGGCAUUCGAUUGCGUUAACUGUGAAGGCUAAAUCAUUCUUAUCAUUAUGUUGGGAUCGCAAAAGCUUUGGUGUUGGCUAACAAACUGAAAAUGAUUUUCUUCUUCACAGACCAUCCGUGUUUUCAUCGAUGAGAUGAAGCAACGUCGGAGUGGUUACAUUCUGGCCGUCAGUUCCAUCUUAGGCUACAUCCCAAUGGCACGAUGCAUACCUUAUGUUGGAACGAAAUUCGCCCUCCGUGGCAUGAUGCAAGCCUUGCA